rnacentral:rRNA from 10 species
GAACGACUCUCGGCAACGGAUAUCUCGGCUCUUGCAUCGAUGAAGAACGUAGCGAAAUGCGAUACUUGGUGUGAAUUGCAGAAUCCCGUGAACCAUCGAGUCUUUGAACGCAAGUUGCGCCCGAAGCCAUUAGGCCGAGGGCACGCCUGCCUGGGUGUCACAC